rnacentral:rRNA from 1 species
UAGGGAAUAUUGCACAAUGGGCGAAAGCCUGAUGCAGCAACGCCGCGUGCGCGAUGAAGGCCUUCGGGUUGUAAAGCGCUUUUCUGGAGGACGAGGAAGGACGGUACUUCAGGAAGAAGGAUCGGCUAACUACGUGCCAGCAGCCGCGGUAAAACGUAGGAUCCGAGCGUUAUCCGAAUUCACUGGGCGUAAAGCGCGUGUAGGCGGCUUUGUAAGUUGGAUGUGAAAUCUCCAGGCUCAACUGGGAGGGGACGUUCAAGACUGCAAGGCUAGAGGGCAGUAGAGGGAGGCGGAAUUCCCGGUGUAGUGGUGAAAUGCGUAGAUAUCGGGAGGAACACCAGAGGCGAAGGCGGCCUCCUGGACUGCAACUGACGCUCAGACGCGAAAGCUAGGGGAGCAAACGG